rnacentral:rRNA from 1 species
CCGCACGGGUGAGUAACACGUAUCCAACCUGCCGUCUACUCUUGGCCAGCCUUCUGAAGGAAGAUUAAUCCAGGAUGGCAUCAUGAGUUCACAUGUCCGCAUGAUUAAAGGUAUUUUCCGGUAGACGAUGGGGAUGCGUUCCAUUAGAUAGUAGGCGGGGUAACGGCCCACCUAGUCAACGAUGGAUAGGGGUUCUGAGAGGAAGGUCCCCCACAUUGGAACUGAGACACGGUCCAA